rnacentral:RNase_P_RNA from 1 species
GGAAAGUCCGGGCUUCACAGGGCAGGAUGCCGGAUAACGUCCGGUGGAGGCGACUCCAAGGAUAGUGCAACAGAAAUAUACCGCCGGCAGUCGCCGGUAAGGUUGGAAUGGCAGUGUAAGAGACUACCGCCCGCCCGGUAAUGUGCGGGGCAUAUGUAAACCCCAUCCGAAGCAAGACCAAAACGAAGCAUAUGGCGGCCCGUCAGCUUCAGGUAGGUUGCUCGAGCCUGCCGGCAACGGCAGGCCUGGAUAGAUGACCAUUCACGACAGAACCCGGCUUAUCGUUCUGCUC